CUGAGGCUGCUUUGAAUGGCAAUGUUGGCCCUAAGAAAACCCAACAAGGGAAAAAAAGCAUUAACUUCAUCAGGAGGAGGAGAUCAUGCGCGCAUGAGGGAAAAUCAAGUGUGAAUUCUCUAGCAAUGCGUUGAGGAGGAGGUAUCGCGCCUCAGGUAACAGAGUGAAGAGCAGUUUCACUCUAUGUAGGAGGAGAUGAGGUGUAUGAUGAGGUAGAUGGCGUCAUCAUCCCGCCCUUAAAGUGAUUCUGUUGAUCCCCAUGAUCAGAGCACGCA
rnacentral:misc_RNA from 1 species